GCAUGUCUGAGUACAGACCGAUCUAAGGUGAAACCGCGAAUGGCUCAUUAAAUCAGUCAUAAUUCCUUGGAUAGUGAUAAACUUCCUCGGAUAACUGUGGAAAAUCCAGAGCUAAUACGUGCAACUGAGCUCCGACCUCGGCGUGAGCCUUGGGAAGAGCGCAUUUAUUAGAUUCAAAACUGACCGGUGUACUCCUUCGGGAUGCGCCGUUUGUCGAAAGUUUGAUGACUCCGGAUAACUUAGCCGAGCGCUACGGUCUUAGUACCGGCGCCGUAUCUUUCAAGUGUCUGCCUUAUCAGCUUUCGAUUGUAGGUUAAACGCCUACAAUGGCUGUAACGGGUAACGGGGAAUCAGGGUUCGAUUCCGGAGAGGGAGCCUGAGAAACGGCUACCACAUCUAAGGAAGGCAGCAGGCACGCAAAUUACCCACUCCCAGCCCGGGGAGGUAGUGACGAAAAAUAACGAUGCGAGACUCUUCCGAGGCCUCGCAAUCGGAAUGAGUCCAUUUUAAAUGUUUGGACGAGGAUCCAUUGGAGGGCAAGUCUGGUGCCAGCAGCCGCGGUAAUUCCAGCUCCAAUAGCGUAUAUUAAAGUUGCUGCGGUUAAAAAGCUCGUAGUUGGACUUCCUAGAUCCAAUUCGCGAGCGAGUCGCUCGUUGAGCUAACGUCCCGCGUCAGUCGCUGAAUGACUUCCAACGGCGCGUUUCUUUCGUCGUCGCGUUCGAGUCUUUGAGUCUACCUUCGCGGGUAUGUCUUAUUUUCUCGCGCGUUGUCGUUCGAGGAUCGCUCACCUGAGGUUUUAAGGAGUUUAGCGGACGGCGGGUUGCGUUGUCUUCGGGUAUCGCUCGUUCGCGUUUGGUACAAUUAAAAUUUUGUCGGCUCGCUCGGAGUGCUCUUUACCGAGUGUUCCAGGGUGGCCGACACGUUCACUUUGAAAAAAUUAGAGUGCUUAAAGCAGCCUUGUAGUCGGCCCGAAUGUCUGUGCAUGGAAUGAAGUAACAGGACCUCGAUUCUGUUGUUUUUGUCGGUUUUAUUGAACCGAGGUAAUGAUUAAAAGGGACAGACGGUGGCAUUAGUAUUGUGGCGCUAGAGGUGAAAUUCUUGGACCGCCGCAAGACUAACUACUGCGAAAGCAUUUGCCGAGAAUGUUUUCAUUAAUCAAGAACGAAAGUUGGAGGAUCGAAGGCGAUCAGAUACCGCCCUAGUUCUAACCCUAAACUAUGCUAACUAGCGAUCCGCCGGAGUCAUUCCCACGACCCGGCGGGAAGCCCCAGGGAAACCAAAGUCUUUGAGUUCCGGGGGAAGUAUGGUUGCAAAGCUGAAACUUAAAGGAAUGACGGAAGGGCACCACCAGGAGGGAGCCUGCGGCUUAAUUUGACUCAACACGGGAAACCUCACCAGGCCCGGACAUCAUNAGGAUUGACAGGGUGAGAGCUCUUUCUCGAUUUGAUGGGUGGUGGUGCAUGGCCGUUCUUAGUUGGUGGAGUGAUCUGUCUGGUUGAUUCCGAUAACGAACGAGACUCUACCCUACUAACUAGUCGGCGGAUCGUAACCCUGAGAUGGUUAGUUUGUUGGAUGGCGGGUUUGUCGAGAUGAAUGUCCUUUGGCGUUUUAUGUUUCGUUCGUGCGUUGGUGUGCGUGGGUGUGUCGUUUCGGCGAUCGCGCUCUCGUAUAUUUGCGCGCGGUCGGGGCUUGGCGUUCGAGGCUUCGUCGAAGCUACCGUCUGAUUACUGCUACUGCUGGGGGCGUCCGUCGCAAUGUAUCUUCUUAGAGGGAUCAGCGGCGUAUAGCCGCACGAGAAAGAGCAAUAACAGGUCUGUGAUGCCCUUAGAUGUUCUGGGCCGCACGCGCGCUACAAUGUAGAGAUCAGCGUGCUUUCCCUCUCCGAAAGGAGCGGGUAACCCGUUGAAACCCCUACCCGAUUGGGAUUGGGGAUUGCAAAUAUUUCCCAUAAACGAGGAAUUCCCAGUAAGCGCGAAUCAUUAAUUCGCGCUGAUUACGUCCCUGCCCUUUGUACACACCGCCCGUCGCUACUACCGAUUGAAUGAUUCAGUGAGGGCAUCGGACUGGCGCCUUCGGUUUAGUAACAUAGACCUUAGGCUGACGGAAAGAUGUCCGAACU
rnacentral:rRNA from 1 species